rnacentral:ribozyme from 1 species
GCACAGAAGCACACACAGCAAUGACAAAACGGGGCUAAAAGAGAAAAGAGAAAAAAAAAAGGCAAUAUAUUUGCUGGUGUGUGGUUUUUUUUUUUUUUUAUGUU